UACAGAGGGUGCGAGCGUUAAUCGGAAUUACUGGGCGUAAAGCGCACGUAGGUGGCGACGUAAGUCGGGUGUGAAAGCCCCGGGCUCAACCUGGGAAUUGCAUUCGAGACUGCAUUGCUGGAGUACGGAAGAGGAGGGCGGAAUUCCCGGUGUAGCUGUGAAAUGCGUAGAUAUCGGGAGGAACAUUAGUGGCGAAGGCGGCCCUCUGUUCCAGUACUUACACUCAAGUGCGAAAGCGUGGGGAGCAAACAGG
rnacentral:rRNA from 1 species